AUCCAUGACCUCCAGAGAUGUAGAAACCAGGAACUGCCAAUGCUGAUUGACCAAGGAAAGGCACAAAAUACCUGAGCAGUGAUGUUUCAGGUCCGGACUGAAGAAGAGUCCCAACCCGAAACAUUACCUGUCCAUGUUCUCCAGAGAUGCUGCCUAACCCGCUGAGUUACUCCAGAACCUUAUGUUCUAUACAAUAUUUCAUUUAUUGAAUGCUUGAGGGCCUACUCCUGCUUCUAUUUCUUUCAUAUAUUUUGGAAAAAUCCAGUUAAAUACCUGCGUGUGCCAGCUGGCCAAAAGAAAACCCAUGUUAAAGAAAAUACAUACUUCAUAUUCGUGGAAAUAUACCCCUUAUCAGGAAAAUAUUUUUAAAAAUGCAGAGGGUUGAAAUCUGAAAUAAAAUGGAUCCCGAACUGAAAGAAUUUCCACCUCAACUUUCAUCAACACAAUGCAAGUGUGAACUUUGUACAACCACAAAAAAGGGAAUUCACUGCCUCCAGGCAUUAUCAGUUUGCUUUCGUCACGGAUAUCUCACAACCAAUACACUUCUUGUCACAUGGUUGUUGGUAUUAGUGGGCGAAACAGCUGUGUUUUGUGUCUAUCUGCGGAUAAUACAACGUGCUUUACUUGCCAUUUUCCACAUUGAGAUGAUUCAUUGUGUAUGAAGCCACCCACCAUCAUUGUGCAGCAGGAAAACAAAGUGGCUCCUUCUAAAUUAUUAAUGGGCUGACGACAGAAUGAUUUAAUUUACAAUUCCUUUCACGCAGGCCUGGGAAGAACACACCCAAAUUGCUUGAGUAACUCAGAGGGUCAGUCAGCAAACUGGAGGACAAGGAUAGAUGACUUUUCAGGUCGGAAACUUCUUCAGACUCAACAGCCUUGCAUGAGGAAGUUAUGUCUACAAGUUAUCACGUGUCCUUAAAAUUAUAGCUUGCAAAUUGGAUACCAAAAAUAAAAUGGAUGCAAAAAAUACACUUGUUUUGCUCUCCAGCGUUCUUCUAUCCUGCUCUGACUGAACUGGAGAACCGCUGGAUCGUGGCUUCAGGGGGAGCCCACCGAUCUGGUCCCCAUCGUCUGAACAUAAGAGGAAGCUACUGAGCCAGUCCCCUGCUCAUUGGACCUGGCAGACCACCGGCCAGGAAGGGAGAAGCUACUGAGGAUGGAGCCAGCGACGAUGGGCGAGGCCAGAAGGAGAGGAGGGAGGAAACCUACAGCCUCCUUGUGCCCUGUGGGAGGCUUCUCCAGGGAACAAAGGUUGAAGGGUGAGGAGAGGGACGUGGUAGUCAAGGAAGGAGAUGGCUCGAGGUCUGGGACUUGCCUGGAACAGGCACCACAUAAGAACUAGAGCAUGGACUUUGAAAAUGGCGGCACAAUAUGGCACCUCUUGCAUGAGGGCUCAGUAAACUAUUUCUGUACACUUGUUAAUCGAAAAUCAGGGGUAUGGCAAUUCUUUACUAGGCUGAUUGUAUGGGGCAAUAAAAACACCAUUGAACCAUUAUUUACUAUCUGCCUGAAGCCAAGACUUGCUAAUGUGGAUUUUACAUGGAAGUACGCAGUCCUAUGUUUUUAUUGCCGUGACUUCCUUCAGGAAUGAUCACUAGUGUUUUUUUCCUUUUGAAUAAAACAUCAGCACAAUGUGAUCCAAUAAAAGAGUUUUAUUGCACAAUCACGAAUGUGUAUUAUUCCAGGAACGUGGAUUGCAUCACAGCAAGUAAUUGUUUUGCGACUUCCAUUCGAAUGAUGUCCUUGAAUGCACACAUGAGGCUACGGGUAAGAUUGAAUAAAUGGGAAGAAGGGGUCAAAAACAUGAAUAAAUGUAAAAUUUGAUUGGCGAAGAAAUCAGAUGGGAGAUGAGUCAAAAUGUUUUCACCCAGAGGAUGUGAGGGGUCUUGAAUUCAUUGCCUGAAAGGAUGUUAGAGGCAGAAAGGGUCAGCCACAUUUGAAAGUGUACUUGCAGGCGUUACGGAUCCAGUGCUGGGUGAUUUACGAUAAACUGCAGAUGCUGGAAUCUUGCACAAAAUACAAAAGGGUCGGGAUUCUUGACCCAAAAUGUCAAAUGUUCAUUCCCUCCACAGAUGCUGCCUGACCCACUGAGGUCCUCCAGCACUUUGUUUUUUUACUUUUAGUUUGGGUUUGACAGACACAUUGGGCCAAAUGGCCUGCUUUUGAUCAUUAUUUUCCUUAUAAAUUUAUGAUUCUGUCUGAAUCGGAGUGUUAACCUAGUACAGAAUUAUUAAUGCAACGGAAAAUGGGUUUGUGGCCAAAAAUAAGUGCUUUUAUUGAGGACAUCCUGUCCUCCCUAUGUGAGCAACCUGAUUUACAAUGCCUGAAAAAAAUCACUAAUUAUAACUAAUGUACAUUCUUCAAUAGGGCGACAAUGGCCACAGCUCAAAACUUGGCUGUUUCUUCAGUGAAACGGGAGUCUGGAGAGGUCCAAAAUAGCACCUAUGGCGACCACAAGCAUGCGGCAUUAGAUGCUGAUGCAAGGAACUGCAGAUGCUGGAGUACAAAAAUCACAAAGUGUUGGAGUAACUCAGCGGGUCAGGCAGUAUAUCUAGAGAACAUGGAUGUGAUAUUUUGGGUCAGAGAUACUGCCUGACCCGCUGUGAUACUCCAGCACUUGAUGAUUUUUUUUCGGCAUUAAGUGUUGUUACGGUGUGCACGGGGACAUGCCGAACUCCCUAAGCCUUCUAAGGAAGUAGAGACAUUGGUGUGCUUUCUUGGUCAUUGCUUCGAUAUGGGUGGUCAAGGAAAAGUUGGUAAUAUUGACUCCUAGAAAUGUGAAGUUUUCAACCAUCUCUACUUCCGCGCCGUCACUGCAAACUGGGGUAUGUGUACCCUAAGUCAACCACUAUCUCCUUUGUCUUGCUGACAUUGAGAGAAAAGUUGUGGUCUCAACAUCAGGGCACAAGGUCCUCGAUCUCCUUCCUGUACACUAUCUCAUCGUUAUUUGAUAUCCGGCCCACAAUGGUGGUAUCGCCUGCGAAUUUGAAAAUUGAAUUAGAUUUGUACAUGGCUGCACAGCCGUGGGUGUACAAGGAGUAGAGCAGUGGGCUAUGAAUGCAGCCUUGUGGGGCAUCAAUGUUGAGGAUUAUCGUAGAGGGUGAUUGGGGUCUGUUGGUCAGGAAGUCGAGGAUCCAGUUGCUGAGGUGAGUGCUGACACCAAGUACUGUGAAUUUGGUGAUAAGCCUGGAUGAUAUGAUGCAGAACUGUGAAUAGGAGUCUGAUGAAAGUGCUUCUCAUCCAAAUGUUCCAGGGAUGAGUCUAGGGCUUGGGCAAUGGCAUCGUCCGUGAACCUGUUGUGGCAGUAGGCGAACAGCAGAGGAUCAAGACCGCCAGGUGGACUGGAUUUAAUGCGUUCCAUAACUAGCCUCUCAAACCAUUUCACGAUGGUGGAUGUCAAGGCCAUGGGACGGGAGUCUUUUAGACAUGAGGUCUUGCCUUUCUUCGGCACUGGGAUAAUAGUGGUCUUCUUGAAGCAGGUGGUUACCUCAGAAUGGAGUAGAGAGAGAUGUUGGCAAAUACUCGCGUUAGCUGGUCCGCACAGCUACUAAGGACACGGCCAGGAACUCCGUCUGGACCAGUUGCUUUUUGUGUGUUUAUCUUGGGACUCAAGUUUGUCCCGGUCUUGUUUCUUGGCAUCCUUGAUGGCUUUGCGGAGAUCGUAGUGGGCCUUCUUGUAACACUUGGGAUCAAUUGACUUGUAGGCAGCGGACCUAACCCGCGAGAGUACUUCAUGGUUCAUCCAUGGUUUCCAGUUGGGUAACACCCGGAUUGACUUUGUCAGCAACACAGUCUUUCACACAUUUGCUGAUGGAAAGCCCUCCAACCUACACUGCCCAUACAAUGUCAGCAAUUUUUUCUCAGGCCAACUUUGAGGCCCUAGCAACACACAGUCAAUCGUGUUGGGCAGGCCACAAUGUUCGGUCACCCAACACCUGAUACAAUACACCACUAGAAAAAUACGAUAGUGGUGUUUGAGAGGCUUUUAGAUGGGCACAUAGAAGUACAAGAAAUAAAGGGAUAUGCAUCAUGUAUAGGCAGAUGAGAUUAGUUUAACUUGGCAUCAUGUUCGGCAUAGACUUUCUGGGUGGAAGGGCCCACUCCUGUGCUGUACUGUGCUAUGUUCUAUGUUAACAUCAGACUCCCAAAACAGACAUAAAACACAAAGUGUGGAGGAACUCAGUGGGUCUGGCGGCAUCUGUGGAAGGAAUAGAUAUGCUACGUUUUGGGUAAGGACCCUUCUUCACCCAAAACAGACACUCUAUUCCGAACCUUGCCAUGAGAAGAUAUUACCAGGUGGACGUGCAAAAUAAUUCGAGGAUGUGCUGGAAGUGCCCUUGAAGAAGUGCAAUGUCACCAUACAGCUCAAAACAGGUCCUUUGGCCCAUCUCGUCCAUGCCAACCAAGAUGUCCCACCUAAGCUAGUCCCAUCUGCCCACCUUUGGCCCAUAUCCCUCUAAAACUUUCCUAUCCAUGUACCUGUGAUAGUCAUAGAGUCAAAGAGUGAUACAGUGUGGAAAUAGGUCCUGCGGCCCAACUUGCCCACUUGGCCAACAAUGUCCCAGCUACACUAGUCCCACAUGCCUGCGCUUGGUCCAUUUCUCUCCAAACCUGUCCUAUCCAUGUAACUGUCCAACUGUUUCUUAAAUGAUGGGAUAGUCUCAGCCUCAAUUGCUUCAUCUGGCAGCUUGUUCCAUACACCCACCACCCUUUGUGUGAAAACAUUACCCCUCAGAUUCCUAUUAAAUCUUUUCCCCUUUACCUUGAACCUAUGUUCUCUGGUCCUCAAUCCCCCUACUCUGGGCAAGAGACUGUGCAUCUACCCGAUCUAUUCCUCUCAUGAUUUUGUACACAAGCCUUUUCAAUGGCACUAUAGAACCUGCCUUAACUACCUCCUCUGGCAGCUCGUUCCAUAUACCCACCACCUUCUAAGUGAAUAAGUCGCCCUUUGGAUUCCUAUUAAAUCUUGCCCCUCCAACCUUACACUU